UUAGGAUUAUAAUUUAAUAAGCUACAAUCCGGAAUUGUGUAAUCAAGGGUGUGGAAUCGGGAAGUUGGGGAGGCGGAGGUGGACAGGCAAAGGAAUUCUGACGAACGAGAUCUAUCUAUCUACCCCCGCACAGCACCGGACUGCCAUUGUCAUUGCCAUUGCCAUUUGCCCACCACUUCAACUUCUCUUCUUCUUCUUCUUCUUCUUCUUCUUCUUCAUCCCCUGAGAUCUACCUCAAACCAAACACUUCAUCUCGAUCUCCAUCGUCUUUUCUUUUGGAUUUCAUUUUCCACUACUGCAUGUCAUCUUUACAUUAAUUAGUUCAUGAUUCUAAGAUUUUGAGCAUGGAGUCCCAGCCUUCCCAAUCGGGAAGGUCCCCUACUGACUAUUCCACCAUCGUCACUAGACAGACGAGUCUUGGUCGAACUACUUCCUCCUCCGAUGCCAGCAGCCAGAGCUUGUCUUCGAUUCUCAACAACCCUCAUGCUGGCAAAUCCGAUGCCUCCUGGGUUGGCUGGUGGUCCUCUUCCUCCACCGUUAACCCACCUGAGUUUAUGCCUUUGUCUUCCUCCAUAGCCUCAUCCGAAGUUACUCGAUUCGAUUUUAACAACUACACCACCCUGAUCUCCGAUUCUUUCCACCGAUUUGAGGACAUACGCAACCAUUCCAGCAAGGAGAAUGGUGGCUUGGAUAGCAUUGGUGGCCAGGGCGAGGCCCUUGUGGCUUGUUUGAGAGAGGUUCCCGCGCUUUACUUUAAAGAAGAUUUCGCAUUGGAGGAGGGGGCGACAUUCCGUGCAGCGUGUCCCUUUUUGAAUGUUUCUCAGAAUUUGGUGCUGCAAGAGAAGCUUUCGCAUUAUUUAGAUGUGGUGGAGUUGCAUUUAGUCAAGGAAAUUUCAUUGCGUUCUAAUUCUUUCUUCGAGGCUCAGGGCCAGCUACAAGACUUAAAUGUCAAGAUAGUGGAGGGGUGUAGCCGGAUACGGCAAUUAAAGGAGACCAUACGGCUCUUGGAUGUUGAUUUGGUAGAUUCUGCCAGGGAAAUUCAGGAGCAGAAUGCGACCAGGAAUAAUUUGUUGGCUCUUCAACAGAAAUUGAAGCUUAUUUUAUAUGUUAAUCAGGCCAUUUCCGCUCUUAAAUUGCUAGUAGCAUCAGCAGAUUGUGCUGGAGCUUUGGAUGUGACUGAUGAUUUACUACAUCUUCUGGAGGGGGAUGAACUUGCUGGUCUACAUUGCUUCCGCCACCUACGUGAUCAUGUAGCAGCAUCAAUUGAAUCCAUAACCAGCAUUCUUUCCGCAGAAUUUAUGCGUGCCUCAAUUCAUGAUGCUGGAGAUGUAGAUAUCGUAAUUAUAACUGAAACAAAAGCAUGGGCUUCAAAUUUAAUGAAUGGAAAGGAUGAGGUCAAGUUGGAUGAGGAAGAAACCUCCAACUUCCGCGAUCGCCUUCUUCCUAUCGUUAUUGGAUUGCUCAGGACUGCCAAGCUUCCCUCUGUAUUGAGGUUAUAUCGUGAUGCAGUUACAGCUGAUAUGAAAACUGCUAUUAAGAAUGCAGUGGCAGAAUUACUUCAUGUUCUUCUAAUCAGGCCUCUUGACUCAGAUUUUGCACCUGGAGAGAGAACGAUGGAUGCAGAUGGUGGAGGUGCUUCGCUUGCAAGCAAACUGAGGGGCCUGUCUUCUGAAGGCUUCGUUCAACUUUUAAGUGCCAUUUUCAAGAUUGUACGGGUACAUUUGAUGCGCGCUGCAGAAGUGAAAAAGUCUAUUGAAUGGAUUAUGUGCAAUCUUGAUGGGCAUUAUGCUGCAGAUUCCGUUGCUGCUGCAAUUGCUAGUGGUGCUGCAGCUGCUGGUACAGCUCAAGAUACUGAUAGCCAAGGUGGUUUGCUUCUUCCACAUUUACCUCAGCGAGUAGCUGCCAAGGUUACUUCCUUACAAGGAAAAGCAAAUGAUGCAGCCAACCCUUCAAACAUGUCUAGAAAUUUCAGAGCUGAUGUAUUGCGAGAAAAUACCGAAGCUGUUUUUGCAGCUUGUGAUGCUGCUCAUGGUAGAUGGGCUAAACUCCUUGGCGUUCGCAUUCUUGUUCAUCCAAAGUUGAGAUUACAAGAGUUUUUAAGCAUAUACAACAUCACACAAGAUUUUAUUACAGCCACAGAGAAGAUUGGUGGAAGGUUGGGAUAUAGCAUUCGUGGAACUUUACAGUCCCAGGCCAAAGCUUUUGUUGAUUUUCAGCAUGAGUCUCGUAUGGCAAAAAUCAAGGCUGUGCUUGAUCAGGAAACAUGGGUUGAAGUGGAUGUUCCCGAUGAAUUUCAGUCUAUAGCUGAAUCACUUUGUUCUCAAGAGCUGCUUUCUGAAAACCCCGAUCUUGCUCAGGGUAAUAUGGAUCAAAGCCACAGUGAUGUGGCUACGGAUAACGAUGAUUCACGAAAUGCUCAAGAACACUCUCAGCAGAUUGAUUCAAGUGACCUGUCUGGGGGGAAUUCUGAACAUGUGAAGCUUACUCCUGCAGAUACGAUUGAAAAGAGUAAAGCUGAUGUCACAAUUCCUUCGACGCAAUUGAACAAUACUAAUGUGAAGGAACGUGGAAAAUCAAGUUCUCAGACUUUGCUAUACAAAGGCGUUGGUUAUCACAUGGUAAACUGUGGUUUGAUCUUGCUCAAGAUGUUGUCGGAGUACAUUGACAUGAACAAUUCUUUCCCAGCACUAUCUUCGGAAGUUGUACAUCGUGUUGUGGAAAUUCUCAAGUUUUUCAAUACAAGGACUUGUCAACUUGUACUUGGAGCUGGUGCUAUGCAGGUGUCUGGUUUGAAGUCUAUCACAUCCAAACACUUGGCCUUGGCUAGUCAAGUUAUCAGUUUUACCUUCGCCAUUAUUCCUGAAAUUAGGAGAAUCCUUUUUCUCAAGGUACCUGAGGCGCGAAAGACACUGUUGCUCUCAGAGAUUGAUCGAGUGGCUCAAGAUUUCAAAGUUCACCGAGAUGAAAUUCAUACUAAGCUGGUCCAGAUAAUGAGGGAAAGGUUAUUGGUACAUCUUCGUGGUCUGCCUCAAAUUGUUGAAAGUUGGAAUAGACUCGAGGAUUCUGACCCUCAGCCCAGUCAGUUUGCUCGAUCACUUACCAAGGAAGUUGGUUACCUUCAACGGGUCUUAUCUCGAACCUUACAUGAGGCGGAUGUUCAGGCAAUAUUUAGGCAAGUGGUCAAAAUCUUCCAUUUACAAAUUUCUGAAGCAUUUUCACGAUUAGACAUAAGCACCCCACAAGCAAAGGAUAGGCUGCUUCGUGAUGUUAAGCACAUUCUUGGCUGCAUAAGAUCUUUGCCUUGUGACGAUUUGAGUAAAUCUGACAUCCCAAACUGGGGGCAACUUGAUGAAUUCUUGGAUCAAAGAUUCGGAUCUGAAGCUGGAUAAUGACAUGAAUGUGUAUUGACCAUUGUUUUCUUUAUGAAGGGUGGUGUCAUAUUUGAGUAAAUAACAGGAUACCAGGAGUCAAUUUUCAACCUAUGCCUUCUCCCUUGUACAACUAAAAUAUCAAGGUAUAAAGUUUGGGAUUCAGAUAUUUCAACGAAGUUUUUCUCCUCUGCCCUUUUUGCUGAAACACAUAACAUAUAUUUGUUUUGUACCGGCUAGGCCAACGUUUUUUGCUGCCCUAAUUGUAGUUGUGUUUAGAGAAGAACAUAUCAAUUGGUUUAUUACUUGAUGAGAAGAUUCAGCCAAAAUAGAUUUUAGUUCCUUUCUUUUUCUUCCCCACUCCCUCCAAUUUCGUGGCUUCCGUACAUUUGUAUUCUGUAGAGCAAAAUUUAUCUUUAUUUCUAUAAAUAAUUUUGCUUACCGCUGGUUAUGCCAUUUCUUUUCCGAAGGCAUUUUUAAUC